AGUGAACGCUGGCGGUAGGCCUAACACAUGCAAGUCGAACGGCAGCACAGUAAGAGCUUGCUCUUACGGGUGGCGAGUGGCGGACGGGUGAGGAAUACAUCGGAAUCUACUUUUUCGUGGGGGAUAACGUAGGGAAACUUACGCUAAUACCGCAUACGACCUACGGGUGAAAGCAGGGGAUCUUCGGACCUUGCGCGAUUGAAUGAGCCGCUGUCGGAUUAGCUAGUUGGCGGGGUAAAGGCCCACCAAGGCGACGAUCCGUAGCUGGUCUGAGAGGAUGAUCAGCCACACUGGAACUGAGACACGGUCCAGACUCCUACGGGAGGCAGCAGUGGGGAAUAUUGGACAAUGGGCGCAAGCCUGAUCCAGCCAUACCGCGUGGGUGAAGAAGGCCUUCGGGUUGUAAAGACCUUUUGUUGGGAAAGAAAAGCAGCAGGUUAAUACCCAGCUGUUCUGACGGUACCCAAAGAAUAAGCACCGGCUAACUUCGUG
rnacentral:rRNA from 1 species